GAUGAACGCUGACCGAAUGCUUAACACAUGCAAGUCUACUUGAAUUUGGGUUUUUUAACUUAGAUUUGGGUGGCGGACGGGUGAGUAACGCGUAAAGAACUUGCCUCGCAGCUAGGGACAACAUUUGGAAACGAAUGCUAAUACCUGAUAUUAUGAUUAUAAGGCAUCUUAGAAUUAUGAAAGCUAUAUGCGCUGUGAGAGAGCUUUGCGUCCCAUUAGCUAGUUGGAGAGGUAACGGCUCACCAAGGCGAUGAUGGGUAGCCGGCCUGAGAGGGUGAACGGCCACAAGGGGACUGAGACACGGCCCUUACUCCUACGGGAGGCAGCAGUGGGGAAUAUUGGACAAUGGACCAAGAGUCUGAUCCAGCAAUUCUGUGUGCACGAUGACGUUUUUCGGAAUGUAAAGUGCUUUCAGUUGGGAAGAAAAAAAUGACGGUACCAACAGAAGAAGUGACGGCUAAAUACGUG
rnacentral:rRNA from 1 species